GAUAAGGCUCCGCUCUCUGUAAGUCUUUUAUUAAUUUAUAUUUCAAUGAUUUUACUUAUUCGGGAUAAUUUAUUUUUUUUGUGUAUUUUAAAAACUAACUUGUAUUUUGUCUAUUUCAAAACAACUUCGAGAUCGACGUGGAAGUGCCUGGUAUGUCCGGCUACAUAACCUAGUUGCGAACUCUGCCAUUUAAGGAGUGGAUGUACGAGCUUCACAAACAGUGCAUGAAUUUUGAAAUUCAUGAUGAAACUAUGAGCCAUCCACCCUAGGUUGAGCAUAGGAUGGACGAGUUACACUGGUUCUGCGGUUAUUUUCAAAACUUAUAAUUUCUAGGGAUGGACAUUUUCUAGAGUGAAGCAAUUAGACAGCUUAGAGAUAAUAAUGUGCAACUGAGGACAAAUUUGUUUUUCAAUUUUAAUAUAAUGUAAGAACAUUUUAGUUUUAAUAAUAAAAUACUUGUUUUAUAUUGUGAUAUCUUUUCACAUAAAUAUAAUAAAGAUUAAAAUUUUAGAUUAAACAUUAUUACAAUUUGUAUAUUUUAAAAAAAAUAUGUAAUCCAUUUGCCCGACGAAGGAUGUCGUUGAGCAAGCUUUUUAUAUUUAUUAUUAUUUUCUUUAUAAAGCUAACCCGAGGAUAAUUUCGUUGGUUUAAAUAUAUUUUAUUAUUAUUUUAAUAAAAUAUAACUUUGCCAAAUGAAAGAGUUUGGUCGGGCAUGUUAGGUUUGUCGAGCAAAGUUGAUCAACACAUUUUUGCUUGAUGAAAUUGUCAUUGAAAAAUCGGUGGGGCAAAGUAGUUUUGCCAGAUGAUUUUUUAUUUUCAUCAAGUAAAAUUUCGCAUUACGAGUUUUCCGCCACAAACUUUCGGUAACGAAUUGUUGUUAGUCAAAACCUAAGGUGACGAAAAAUUAUUUUGCCCGACUGAAAAGGUGGUAUCCGAGUAAUAGUCCUGCAACCUAAACAAGGUUGAAGAUAAUUGGAAAAAAACAUAAACUUAACAUAGUUCACUCAUACUUUUUAGCCUCUCACAUACUUUUUUUUAUUUAUUUAUUUAUUUAUUAAAUUGAAUAAAUCAAACAUAAACAAUGUUCAUUUAGCAAUGGAAGUGUGUAGAAGGAGAAAAAUAGUUUGUGUUUAUCAUUUUUUGAAAAGAAAAAACAAACGAAAUCUACAUAUCUAACCUCCAAGGGUCUCGAAGACCAUAUUAUCAUACAACAAAUUAAGAGAUAUGAUAACCACGCAAUGUUUUUUCCUUUUACAUAUUUCUCUUUAUUUAUAACCAUCACAUUGAAUAAAUGAAACGAAAUAGUGAACAUAAUUAAACAAGGGUGUGUAGAAAGAGGGAAAAAGAAGUGUAUAAUCCUCAUUAACACAAUUUGUUUUACCAUUUGAAUUGUUUCCCUAUUUGGAAGUGGUGCCCGCUCCUUAUCCUUUUUACAUUUCUCUUUAUACUUUAUAGUGUAUAAGGUGUAAUAAUAGUAAGAGGAAUGUUAACUACCUUCCUCACUUAUAUUUCUUCAUUUGCCUUUCUAACUCAAUCAAUUCCAUGUUAAUUUAUGUGACAACUAAAUCUAUGUAUUAGUUGUGUUUUUUUUUUUUUUUUUUUUUGUUAAACGAUAGAUUUUUAUUAGAUUAGUCACCGACGGGGUUUGAACCUAUGCCGUCAUGCAAGGACACAACUUAUUUCCACCAUUGUGGUAAAGGGCCACUUGCCUAUGUAUUAGUUGUGUUUAUAACUUGUUUCUUCUCCAUCUACAAAUUAAAAAUCCUAUAUGUCAAAUAAAUUAUUAAAUUAUUCUCCAAAAUUUGACAGAUCUAAUUAUUUUAAUUAUUAAUUUUACUUUUUUUAUAUAUGCUUCUUUUCUAUUUUUUGUUAAAUUUUUUCAAGUAGAGGCUUUGGAUUAUCAACAUGUUAUUCUGAAAAAGAAAGGAGGAAGGAUGAUCAUGACUUAUGGUUUACGACCAACAAUAGCCACUACUUAGGGUGUAGAGUUCCCCACUUAGUGUCAGCAUGUUCAAGAUUUUGAAAAGAAAGAUAUCGAGCUCGAUGGAACAAUGUUUCAUGUUUAUGUCGUAAGUUUGAAUACAAUACUUUCUAUUGAAUAUAAUGUCAGAAGAAAACAAAAACAAAAACAAAAAAUGAGAGUCCAAAAGUGAAACUUGUACAAAAGAUAAUAUUAAUAAUUAAAAUAAAUAGAUUUGUCAAAUUUUAGUGGAUAAUUUAAUGAUUUGGUUGUCAUAUGGGAGUUAAUUAGGGACAUAAGUAAAAGGAGAAAAGAAAAGUUUUAAACACAAUUGAUACAUACAUUUAGGUGUAAAAUAACUUAAGAUGGCAUCCAUUAAAUGGAUAAAGCAAAUAAGAAAAAGCAAGAGGAAAAUAUAGCUAAAUUCCUCUGGAAUAACAAAUAAGCGGAGUAAUGUAAUGGCUAUACUUUGCUUUAAUAGCGCUCUGUGCAUGUUGUUUCCUCUUUAUCCUGCACAAGUGUCAAGUGCCGCAUACUUCUCGCAGGAAAACACCUUUCAAGGGUGUUGUCAAAUCCUUAUAUAUUGUAAUCUUUAUACAUAAUUUAUCCAAAACCUCACUAUUCUGCAGGAAGACAUCCGCAUUUGAUAUUUUACCCUUCUCUACUUUUUUUUUCUCUGGCCAUCCUUUUUCUCCUUAAAACAAUAGUUAACAAACAUGUUAGUCUUAUUAUAUUUUUUAUACCAUAUUUGUACAAUUUUUGUAGUAGAGAUGGACCAACAUAUAUUGGUGGACAUUAAUUCUAUGGGGUCAAUGAGAGAGAUGUAGGCCUGGCAAACGAGUCGUGUCAGUCGUGUUCGUGUCGUUUUCGUGUAACACCUGUUAUCUUAACGGGUCGUGUCGUGUCAUACCCGUUAUCUUAACGGGUCCUUAACAGGUCGUGUCACUUUACCCAACGGGUAAAGUGACCCGACCUGUUAUGACCCGUUAAGAAAAAUAUAUUUUUUUUCUUAAAUUUGCACAUACCACACAUUGCCACAUAAAUAU
rnacentral:lncRNA from 1 species